UACCAGCACCCCGAGUGGUCGGGACGAUUAUUGGGCCUAAAGCAUCCGUAGCCGGUUCUGCAAGUCCCCCGUUAAUCCAGCUGCUCAACAGAUGGGCCGCGGAGGAUACUACAGAGCUAGGAGGCAGGAGAGGCAAGCGGUACUCAGUGGGUAGGGGUAAAAUCCGUUGAUCCAUUGAAGACCACCAGUGGCGAAGGCGGCUUGCCAGAAUGCGCUCGACGGUGAGGGAUGAAAGCUGGGGGAGCAAACCGG
rnacentral:rRNA from 1 species